rnacentral:rRNA from 1 species
CAGGCCUAACACAUGCAAGUCGAGCGGACCAUUCCUUCGGGGAUGGUUAGCGGCGGACGGGUGAGUAACACGUAGGCAACCUGCCUGUAAGAUCGGGAUAACUACCGGGAACGGUAGCUAAGACCGGAUAGCUGGUUUCUCCGCAUGGAGGGAUCAUGAAACAUGGGGCAACCUGUGGCUUACGGAUGGGCCUGCGGCGCAUUAGCUAGUUGGUGGGGUAAUGGCCCACCAAGGCGACGAUGCGUAGCCGACCUGAGAGGGUGAUCGGCCACACUGGGACUGAGACACGGCCCAGACUCCUACGGGAGGCAGCAGUAGGGAAUCUUCCGCAAUGGGCGCAAGCCUGACGGAGCAACGCCGCGUGAGUGAUGAAGGUUUUCGGAUCGUAAAGCUCUGUUGCCAAGGAAGAACGCCUCGGAGAGUAACUGCUCUGGGGGUGACGGUACUUGAGAAGAAAGCCCCGGCUAACUACGUGCCAGCAGCCGCGGUAAUACGUAGGGGGCAAGCGUUGUCCGGAAUUAUUGGGCGUAAAGCGCGCGCAGGCGGUCUUUUAAGUUUGGUGUCUAAGCCCGGGGCUCAACCCCGGUUCGCACUGAAAACUGGGAGACUUGAGUGCAGGAGAGGAAAGCGGAAUUCCACGUGUAGCGGUGAAAUGCGUAGAGAUGUGGAGGAACACCAGUGGCGAAGGCGGCUUUCUGGACUGUAACUGACGCUGAGGCGCGAAAGCGUGGGGAGCAAACAGGAUUAGAU